UAUUCCAACAAACUAUUUCAGAAAGACAGCAAAAUAAGCAAAACUGAAGAAUCAAAUCACAAACCAGAUGCAAUCAGAUCAAGCAGUAAGAACAACAGCACCUCCAGCAGCCUUGAUCUUCUUCUCCGCAGUCUUCGAGAUCAGCUUCGCCUUCACAACCACCGGGCACGAAGAAGGCACCAUCCCCUUCCCGAGCACCUUGAAGUAUCCAUGCUGCGAAACAUCAAUCACCGGAGCGCCGGCACCAGCGGCGGCCUGACUCUUGACGGCGUCGGGGACGAGGGACCAGAGGCGGUCAACGUUGACGAUGGGGCAGUGGAACUUGUUGCGGAGACGGUGGAAGUAGCGCAUGCCGACCUUGCCGAAGUAGCCGGGAUGGUACUUGUCGAAGAGAAUGCGGUGGUGGUGCAUGCCGCCGGCGUUACCGCGGCCGCCGGGAUGCUUGCGGUGCUUGCCGAUACGGCCGUGGCCGGCGCUGACGUGGCCGCGCUUCUUCCGG
rnacentral:misc_RNA from 1 species